AAGAGUACGUGAAACCGUCCGGGGGUAAACCUGUGAACCCCAAAAGAUCGAAUGAGGAGAUUCAUCGUCAGCGUAUUCAGUAUUAAUGCAGGCUAUGAUGUGAUAAUAGAAUCCUCGUGGUCACUAGAUUAUACUUGCUUGUAUUAUUUUUGCUGGAUAUGUCGGCGUGCACUUCUCCUCUAGUAGAACGUCCCAACCCGUUGGAUGUUUAUCUAUGGCCUGAUUGGUAGCCUUUGAUAUUUAUUAUAUCGAAAACCUUUUGGUGUCCUGAUAAACUGGCUGACGGUAUACAUAAUAAUAAUAUUGAGCCGCAAUUAUUUGCGUUAGACUUAUCGCAAGUUAAGGCUUUAUUCUGGUAGUGCGGAUUUAAUGCCGUCGCUGGACAAAGUCUGCUGUUAGCUGUGUAAUGUCUUUAACUGGCUUAUUUACUGGGUAGCGAUGCUACUGCGUUGGGUAC
rnacentral:rRNA from 1 species